rnacentral:rRNA from 1 species
GACCAGAUCAAGCGCGAGAAGGGCGUUUGGUGAAUGCCUUGGCAGUAAGAGGCGAUGAAGGACGUGAUACUCUGCGAUAAGUCAUGGGGAGCCGAGAAUAGGCUUUGAUCCAUGAAUUUCCGAAUGGGGGAACCCACCUGACAGUUCGAUAUUGUUACCACGGUAGCCAAUAUCUUGCUGAACCAGGUACUUAAAACCUGAAUACAUAGGGUUUUAAGAGCAAACCCGGGGAACUGAAACAUCUAAGUACCCGGAGGAAAGGACAUCAAUUGAUACUCCCUUAGUAGCGGCGAGCGAACGGGGACCAGCCGAGCCAGAGAAGUGACUGGAAUGCGUUGGGAAGCGCAGCCAUAGCGGGUGAUAGCCCCGUACAGGAAGCUUUGAUGGACGUAUUAAGUAGGGCGGAACACGUGAAAUUCUGUCUGAAGAUCGGAGGACCACCUUCGAAGGCUAAGUACUCCUUACUGACCGAUAGUGAACCAGUACCGUGAGGGAAAGGUGAAAAGCACCC